rnacentral:misc_RNA from 1 species
GUGUUUGGAAUAAAUUUUAAAAUGAGAAUUCAUUUAAAUUCUAUUAUUUGGAAUAAUUGAGAUGUGUUGAAAUCAAAGGGCCAAGGAGUGUGGAUUAAUAAACAAGUAGGUUCCCAUGCUGAACUAAGCUUGAAACUAGGCCAUCCAUUUUGGUUUUGUUUGCCAACGCUAACGUGUCCUUUAAUUUUCUUAUACACUACU